rnacentral:rRNA from 1 species
GACAGAGGAUGCAAGCGUUAUCCGGAAUGAUUGGGCGUAAAGCGUCUGUAGGUGGCUUUUAAGUCCGCCGUCAAAUCCCAGGGCUCAACCCUGACAGGCGGUGGAAACUACCAAGCUGGAGUACGGUAGGGGCAGAGGGAAUUUCCGGUGGAGCGGUGAAAUGCGUAGAGAUCGGAAAGAACGACCGAACGGCGAAAGCACUCUGCUGGGCCGACACUGACACUGAGAGACGAAAGCUAGGGGAGCGAAUGGG